UCCUAGGGGAGGCAGCAGUGGGGAAUAUUGCACAAUGGGGGAAACCCUGAUGCAGCAACGCCGCGUGAGUGAAGAAGUCAUUCGUGAUGUAAAGCUCUAUCAGCAGGGAAGAAAAUGACGGUACCUGAGUAAGAAGCCCCGGCUAACUACGUGCCAGCAGCCGCGGUAAUACGUAGGGGGCAAGCGUUAUCCGGAUUUAUUGGGCGUAAAGCGAGGGCAGGCGGUUAAAUAAGUCUG
rnacentral:rRNA from 1 species